UACGAAGGGGGCUAGCGUUGUUCGGAUUUACUGGGCGUAAAGCGCACGUAGGCGGAUUGUUAAGUCAGGGGUGAAAUCCUGGAGCUCAACUCCAGAACUGCCUUUGAUACUGGCAAUCUUGAGUCCGGAAGAGGUGAGUGGAACUCCUAGUGUAGAGGUGGAAUUCGCAGAUAUUAGGAAGAACACCAGUGGCGAAGGCGGCUCACUGGUCCGGUACUGGACGCUGAGGUGCGAAAGCGU
rnacentral:rRNA from 1 species